rnacentral:rRNA from 1 species
GACGAACGCUGGCGGCGUGCUUAACACAUGCAAGUCGAACGGAAAGGCCCUGCUUUUGUGGGGUGCUCGAGUGGCGAACGGGUGAGUAACACGUGAGUAACCUGCCCUUGACUUUGGGAUAACUUCAGGAAACUGGGGCUAAUACCGGAUAGGAGCUCCUGCUGCAUGGUGGGGGUUGGAAAGUUUCGGCGGUUGGGGAUGGACUCGCGGCUUAUCAGCUUGUGGGUGGGGUAGUGGCUUACCAAGGCUUUGACGGGUAGCCGGCCUGAGAGAGUGACCGGCCACAUUGGGACUGAGAUACGGCCCAGACUCCUACGGGAGGCAGCAGUGGGGAAUAUUGCACAAUGGGCGGAAGCCUGAUGCAGCAACGCCGCGUGCGGGAUGACGGCCUUCGGGUUGUAAACCGCUUUCGCCUGUGACGAAGCGUGAGUGACGGUAAUGGGUAAAGAAGCACCGGCUAACUACGUG